UGAGUAACCUGCCCUUAACUCUGGGAUAAGCCUGGGAAACUGGGUCUAAUACCGGAUAUGACUCCUCAUCGCAUGGUGGGGGGUGGAAAGCUUUUUGUGGUUUUGGAUGGACUCGCGGCCUAUCAGCUUGUUGGUGAGGUAAUGGCUCACCAAGGCGACGACGGGUAGCCGGCCUGAGAGGGUGACCGGCCACACUGGGACUGAGACAUGGCCCAGACUCCUACGGGAGCAG
rnacentral:rRNA from 1 species